UAGGGAAUCUUCGGCAAUGGGGGCAGCCCUGACCGAGCAACGCCGCGUGAGUGAAGAAGGUUUUCGGAUCGUAAAGCUCUGUUGUAAGUCAAGAACGAGUGUGAGAGUGGAAAGUUCACACUGUGACGGUAGCUUACCAGAAAGGGACGGCUAACUACGUGCCAGCAGCCGCGGUAAUACGUAGGUCCCGAGCGUUGUCCGGAUUUAUUGGGCGUAAAGCGAGCGCAGGCGGUUUGAUAAGUCUGAAGUUAAAGGCUGUGGCUCAACCAUAGUUCGCUUUGGAAACUGUCAAACUUGAGUGCAGAAGGGGAGAGUGGAAUUCCAUGUGUAGCGGUGAAAUGCGUAGAUAUAUGGAGGAACACCGGUGGCGAAAGCGGCUCUCUGGUCUGUAACUGACGCUGAGGCUCGAAAGCGUGGGGAGCGAACAGGAUUAGAUACCCUGGUAGUCCACGCCGUAAACGAUGAGUGCUAGGUGUUGGAUUCUUUCCGGGAUUCAGUGCCGCAGCUAACGCAUUAAGCACUCCGCCUGGGGAGUACGACCGCAAGGUUG
rnacentral:rRNA from 1 species